AGAUUGAACGCUGGCGGCAUGCUUUACACAUGCAAGUCGAACGGUAACAGGCCGCAAGGUGCUGACGAGUGGCGAACGGGUGAGUAAUGUAUCGGAACGUGCCCAGUCGUGGGGGAUAACGCAGCGAAAGCUGCGCUAAUACCGCAUACGAUCUAUGGAUGAAAGCGGGGACCGUAAGGCCUCGCGCGAUUGGAGCGGCCGAUAUCAGUAUUAGGUAGUUGGGUGGGUAAAGGCUCACCAAGCCAACGAUCUGUAGCUGGUCUGAGAGGACGACCAGCCACACUGGACUGAGACCACGCCCAGACUCCGUACGGGAGGCAGCAGUGGGGUAAGUUUGGACAGGUGGGCGACAAGCC
rnacentral:rRNA from 1 species